rnacentral:tRNA from 1 species
GGGCGCUUAGCUCAGUUGGGAGAGCGCCUGCCUUACAAGCAGGAGGUCGGCGGUUCGAGCCCGUCAGCGCCCA